ensembl:lncRNA
AUGAAGGGGGGCCAUUACAAGAAGGAGAGCCAUGUGCUGCUCUACAGUCAGAGAGAUAGGGUGGGAUUUCACAGGCUAGCAGCACAUGCUCUCACCACGCUGAGAGCUGAAAGAUGUAUAGUACACGUGUGUGUUUGCAGUAGAAGGCCAUGGCGUCUUGGGACUGUCGCUUUUGAGGAAAAGGCAAGUGUUCAGGGGUGUCAAAGGACCAGAGCUGUGACUCUAAAGAAGAGACGGCGAGUGGGACAUACACAUCGGACUCUCUGACAAUGCCGGCUCAGGUUCCUGUGAGUUUGCCAUGGCGACCAGUGGGCCCUGACAGCAGCGGGGAUCACGGUCUUGCAGAGGAAGGGUGUGUAUGUGUGUGCGUGUAGCUGAGGGGGUGUGGGGUUAUUGGGGGACACACGCCAGAUGCCUUGGGGAGACGCCCUUCAGCUCACCAGCUGGGAGAGGCUAAACUGCCCCUCACGCGAUGGUUUUCGGCCUUAACGGAUUAGAGUGUUUACGGCACACUUUGGCUAUCAUACGCUCACCAACACAAAAACAAUUGUGAUAUAAAAUAGCGCUUUUCAGCUGGUUUUGUUUCAGGACACAUAUUUUACUGUAGACAUGAUGUGGUGACACAAAACUGUAGCAAAAUUGUUUUAUCGUAUAAAAAAAUUAAAAUGGUCUUAAAGUUACCAUUCGAAUCAAAAUGGUCAAUUCCUAUUUACGGAGCAUUGGAAUUUUAUUAUAGAUUAAAUUAGUUCCUCUUACAUUCUGAAUAGUAAAGAUUACAAUAGGGGUUUUCACAGCGAUGCCAUAGAAUAACUGUUUUGGUUUCAUUUUGAACCUAAAAAAAAAAAAAAAACUUUUUGGUUCCCCAUAGAACCUUUUAGCAAAAUGUUCUUAAAAGAACCAUUUUUUUUUUACUUGAACAUUUUACAAGUCCAAAGAUCCUAUUUCCACUCUAAAGAACUUUUUGUGUAAUGGAUAGUUUUCAAGGACUAUUAAGGUUCCAUAGAUGCCAAUAAAGCCAAAAAACUAUUUUCUUUAUUAUUUUUU